AUUGAACGCUGGCGGCAGGCCUAACACAUGCAAGUCGAGCGAGCGGCGGACGGGUGAGUAAUGUAUGGGGACUGCCCGAUAGAGGGGGAUAACUACUGGAAACGGUGUCUAAUACCGCAUACUAUCGGAUAACCCAUAUGGGAUUAGCUAGUAGGUGGGGUAAAGGCUCACCUAGGCGACGAUCUCUAGCUGGUCUGAGAGUAUGAUCAGCCACACGGGGACUGGGACACGGCCAAAACUCCACCGGAGGAAGCAGGGGGGAAUAUUGCAAAAUGGGCGCAAGCCUGAUGCAGCAAUGCGGCGGGUAUGAAGAAGGCCUCAGGGUUGUAAAGUACGUUCAGCGGGGAGGCGUUACCCGAAGAAGAAGCAACGGCUAACUCCGUGCCAGCAGCCGCGGUAAUAC
rnacentral:rRNA from 1 species